CCCCUUUUCAUCCCGACGGGCACUGCCUAUAUUGGGUGUGUCGGCGCAAGCUGACUAUGACGAUAAACGGACUGCGUAAUAAGCCUAUCGGACCCGGGGGCGGUACCCGGCGCCUCCACCCAAGCCCAUGAGGCCAAGCUUCUGAAACUCCAUGGGUUUCGGCGGGGGCGAAAUAGGAUCGACGAGGGCGUAAAGACUGUGCUUUUGCUCGGCAUUGUACCACCGUUAUCGGGCUUUCUUAAUAGUUGCAAAUGACAACUAUGCUAUGGACAACGCUGUCGCUGCGUAAUGCAGUGCCGGUAGUCCACUAAGUCCUGUUGGUUAGCACCUUCAGGCGGGGUUCGGAGGCACCUGGCAACAGAAGCCUCCACU
rnacentral:tmRNA from 1 species